rnacentral:rRNA from 1 species
CCUACGGGUGGCAGCAGUGAGGAAUAUUGGUCAAUGGCCGGAAGGCUGAACCAGCCAAGCCGCGUGAAGGACGAAGGUGCCAAGCAUUGUAAACUUCUUUUGUCAAGGGACAAAAUCAGGCUCGAGAGCCUGACCGAGGGUACUUGAAGAAAAAGCAUCGGCUAACUCCGUGCCAGCAGCCGCGGUAAUACGGAGGAGGCGAGCGUUAUCGGGAUGUCUUGGUUUAAAAGGGUGCGUAGGCGGGCUGUUAAGCCAGCGGUAAAAGCCCGGGGCUAAACCCCGGCGAGCCGUUGAAACUGGCUGUCUUGAGAUGUCGAGAGGUAUGCGGAAUGCGCAGUGUAGCGGUGAAAUGCUUAGAUAUUGCGCAGAAC